AGUGGCGGACGGGUGAGUAACGCGUAGGAAUCUGCCUGUUAGUGGGGGACAACGUGGGGAAACCCACGCUAAUACCGCAUACGCCCUACGGGGGAAAGGAGGGGAUCUUCGGACCUUUCGCUAACAGAUGAGCCUGCGUUAGAUUAGCUAGUUGGUAGGGUAAAGGCCUACCAAGGCGACGAUCUAUAGCUGGUCUGAGAGGACGAUCAGCCACACUGGGACUGAGACACGGCCCAGACUCCUACGGGAGGCAGCAGUGGGGAAUAUUGGACAAUGGGCGAAAGCCUGAUCCAGCAAUACCGCGUGUGUGAAGAAGGCCUUAGGGUUGUAAAGCACUUUCAAUUGGGAGGAAAACCUACCGGUCAAUACCCGGUAGCUUGACAUUACCUUUAGAAGAAGCACCGGCUAACUCCGUGCCAGCAGCCGCGGUAAUACGGAGGGUGCGAGCGUUAAUCGGAAUUACUGGGCGUAAAGCGUGCGUAGGCGGUUCGUUAAGUCAGAUGUGAAAGCCCUGGGCUCAACCUGGGAACUGCAUUUGAAACUGGCGGACUAGAGUUUAGUAGAGGGGAGUGGAAUUUCAGGUGUAGCGGUGAAAUGCGUAGAUAUCUGAAGGAACACCAGUGGCGAAGGCGACUCCCUGGACUAGAACUGACGCUGAGGUACGAAAGCGUGGG
rnacentral:rRNA from 1 species